UAGGGAAUCUUCGGCAAUGGGGGCAACCCUGACCGAGCAACGCCGCGUGAGUGAAGAAGGUUUUCGGAUCGUAAAGCUCUGUUGUAAGUCAAGAACGGGUGUGAGAGUGGAAAGUUCACACUGUGACGGUAGCUUACCAGAAAGGGACGGCUAACUACGUGCCAGCAGCCGCGGUAAUACGUAGGUCCCGAGCGUUGUCCGGAUUUAUUGGGCGUAAAGCGAGCGCAGGCGGUUUGAUAAGUCUGAAGUUAAAGGCUGUGGCUCAACCAUAGUUCGCUUUGGAAACUGUCAAACUUGAGUGCAGAAGUGGAGAGUGGAAUUCCAUGUGUAGCGGUGAAAUGCGUAGAUAUAUGGAGGAACACCGGUGGCGAAAGCGGCUCUCUGGUCUGUAACUGACGCUGAGGCUCGAAAGCGUGGGGAGCGAACAGG
rnacentral:rRNA from 1 species